UACGAAGGGGGCGAGCGUUUGUUCGGAUUUACUGGGCGUAAAGGGCGCGCAGGCGGCUGCUCAAGUCAGGCGUGAAAGGCCUGGGCUCAACCCGGGAAUUGCGCUUGAGACUGGGCUGGCUUGAGUGCGGGAGAGGAUGGUGGAAUUCCCAGUGUAGAGGUGAAAUUCGUAGAUAUUGGGAAGAACACCAGUGGCGAAGGCGGUUGCCUGGAGCUUUGCUGACGCUGAGGCGCGAAAGC
rnacentral:rRNA from 1 species